rnacentral:rRNA from 1 species
CCUACGGGGGGCAGCAGUGGGGAAUAUUGGACAAUGGGGGCAACCCUGAUCCAGCCAUGCCGCGUGUGUGAAGAAGGCCCUCGGGUUGUAAAGCACUUUCAGUGAGGAAGAACGCCUGGUGGUUAAUACCCAUCAGGAAAGACAUCACUCACAGAAGAAGCACCGGCUAACUCCGUGCCAGCAGCCGCGGUAAUACGGAGGGUGCGAGCGUUAAUCGGAAUUACUGGGCGUAAAGCGCGCGUAGGUGGCUUGAUAAGCCGGUUGUGAAAGCCCCGGGCUCAACCUGGGAACGGCAUCCGGAACUGUCAAGCUAGAGUGCAGGAGAGGAAGGUAGAAUUCCCGGUGUAGCGGUGAAAUGCGUAGAGAUCGGGAGGAAUACCAGUGGCGAAGGCGGCCUUCUGGACUGACACUGACACUGAGGUGCGAAAGCGUGGGUAGCAAACAGGAUUAGAUACCCUGGUAGUA